AUCGCUUCUCGGCCUUUUGGCUAAGAUCAAGUGUAGUAUCUGUUCUUAUCAGUUUAAUAUCUGAUAUGUUCUCUAUCUGAGGACAAUAUAUUAAAUGGAUUUUUGGAGCAGAAAUUUGGACUAGGAACUUGCUCCAUCCACUUCAUGCAUCAGCCUGGUAUUGCAGUACUUCUAGGAACAGUGCACCCCUU